AACACAAAGUUCCCACAGACAACAUCUGUCUUAGUGCAAACAAUGGACCAUUAUCUUGUAAAUAAUUCUGAUUAAGCUGCGGCACUUCCUCCUGUAACUGGCUGCUGGGGAGCAGGGUGGGGAAGAGGGCGCAGCUGGAGUGGCAGGCCCUGGCCACCAGGAUGGGAAGAUGCAUCAAUUCCUGCCUUGUCACCUGCCUCCUGAAGCAUCUCCUAUUGAAACUGGAGACUGCAAAGGUGGCCAAGUUUCCCAGGAAAACUGAGGGUUAGGAGGUGGUUCUGCCAAGACAUUCAAGAAGCCAAGGACCAAAAGGACAGGAAAGUCCUAGAAGGAAGGUAGGAUGUGGCUAGAAAGAACUCUGUGCCCCGGCCAUGCAAGGCAGACUCUCAGCCCACCCUCCAGAACACGGACUGUGU